rnacentral:tRNA from 1 species
GAUAAUAGUUAAGUAUAACAUUUGAUUUGCAUUCAAAAAGUGCUGAUUGAUCAGCUUAUCUU